AUCAUAUCAUAUCCAAAUUCAAGGUAAAAAUAUAGAAAUAGAAUGUGGUAAAAAAUAUAUUGUGUCUUAACUAAAUAUAACUUUUUUGUUUGUAUGAUUAGCAAAUAAUGAAGACCGAAAUGAGCCACUUGACCUACCAUAAAACGAAAGUAUGCUUUAGAAUAUUUCUAUAAGUAAAAUGAAGGAGUGUCAUCCUUGGGUGGUUUCUCCACCCAAGUACUUAUGUAUUGUAAUUUAUUAUUUUACACUCAUAUGCUUAUUGUAACUGCAUUGUAAAAUAUUCUAAAUAAUAAAGAAAAUAAAAAUAUUCACUUACUGAAUCACAAUUCAAUUUUUAUUUAAGUUGAACCACAGAAUAAAUGAAAUUAUUUUUAAUUUCAUUUAUUCUGUGGUUGAACUGCCAGAUAUCAAAGAUUUGUCAGUGAAGGAAGAGGUCUAUGAAAUAGUUGAGCUAGGCAUAAAUGAUGCUCUUGUUGAUGACCCAAUUACUCCACAAGCUCACCAGCCAUUUGAUUUGGAUAAUCCUAUGUUGGAAGACUAGUUUUUUAUAUUAUUAUUAA